rnacentral:rRNA from 1 species
UACAGAGGUCUCAAGCGUUGUUCGGAUUCAUUGGGCGUAAAGGGUGUGUAGGUGGCGCCGUAAGUCGGGUGUGAAAUUUCGGAGCUUAACUCCGAAACUGCAUUCGAUACUGCGGUGCUUGAGGACUGGAGAGGAGACUGGAAUUCAUGGUGUAGCAGUGAAAUGCGUAGAGAUCAUGAGGAAGACCAGUGGCGAAGGCGGGUCUCUGGACAGUUCCUGACGCUGAGGCACGAAGGUCAGGGGAGCAAACCGG